GCAGGGAAGGGCUCAGUGUUAGAGCAUCUGCUUUGCAUGCAGAAGGUCCCAGGUUCCAUUUCUGACCUCUACA